CACGGGGGGGGCAAGCGUUGUUCGGAAUUACUGGGCGUAAAGGGCUCGUAGGCGGCCAACUAAGUCAGACGUGAAAUCCCUCGGCUUAACCGGGGAACUGCGUCUGAUACUGGAUGGCUUGAGUUUGGGAGAGGGAUGCGGAAUUCCAGGUGUAGCGGUGAAAUGCGUAGAUAUCUGGAGGAACACCGGUGGCGAAGGCGGCAUCCUGGACCAACACUGACGCUGAGUGAGCGAAAGCCAGGGGAGCAAACGGG
rnacentral:rRNA from 1 species